rnacentral:lncRNA from 1 species
GGAAGACCGCAAAGGGGGGGGCGGCCCUAUAGGGUGCCCCGUGUCCUAUAGGGGGCGCCCGGCCCGACGGGGGCGCUGCUGGCCCCAUAGCAACGAUCCCGGCCCCAUAGGAGUGGUCCCGGCCCCACACAUGCUCCUGACCCCACAGGAGUGGUCCCGACCCUAUAGGGUCCUCCCGGCCCCAUAGGAGUCUUCCCAGCCCUAUAGGGUCCUCCCGGCCCCACAGGAGUGGUCCUGGCCCUAUAGGGUUCUCCUGGCCCUAUAAGAGCAGUCCCGGCCCCAUAGGAGUCUUCCCGGCCCCAUAUGGGCACUUAUGGCCCCGUACGGACACUCCUGGUCCUAUAUGAAUGCUUCUGGCCCCAUAGGGAUGCUCCCAGCCCUAUAUGGACGCUUACGGCCCCAUAGGACACUUCUGGUCUUGUAGGGAUUUGUCCUCGGCCUUACAGAGAUGCUCCUGGUCCCAUACAGCUGCUCCUGGCCCCAUAUGGAUGAUCCUGGUCCCACAACGAUGUUUCCAGUCCCAUACAGACAGUCCUGAUCCCAUAUGGAUGUUCCUGAUCCCAUAGAGAUGCUCUUGGUCCCAUAUAGACAGUCCUGGUCCCAUAUGGAUGUUCCUGAUCCCAUACAGAUGCUCUUGGUCCCAUAUGGAUGUUCCUGGUCCCAUACAGAUGCUCCCGGUCCCAUACAAACCCCAUGGGAUCCCCACGAGUGGGUGGUGGGGUGGUGGUGGGGGGUCUCCAUGCGCCCCCCCCGCACCCAUGGGUGCUCAGAGCUCCUUUUUUGGGGGGGGGUUGCUGGCGAAGAGCCGUGCGAAGCGCCUGAGCUGCUCGCUGGCGCUCUGCGACUCCUCCUGCAGCCGCCGGUUGUCCUGGCGCAGAUCGGCCACCUCGGCCUGCAGCACCAC